AAACUGAAGAGUUUGAUCCUGGCUCAGAUUGAACGCUGGCGGUAUGCUUAACACAUGCAAGUCGAACGGUAACGAUGGUAGCUUGCUAUCAGGCGACGAGUGGCGGACGGGUGAGUAAUGCAUGGGAAUCUGCCCAGUAGUGGGGGAA
rnacentral:rRNA from 1 species